UUAAAAACACCGGUCCUCGUACGAUCACCGAAGUUAAGCGACGUCAAUUUGAUUUAUGCUUGGAUGGGUGACCGUUUAGGAAUACCGGGUGUUGUAU